UGAGGUCGUAUGAUGGUUUUAAAUGCAUAGUUCAGAUGAAUAAUUAUGUGAUUAAUGUAAAUCUUAAUAGUCUUUCGCUCCUAUCUGAUGACCUCC
rfam:Beta vulgaris subsp. vulgaris chromosome 8, whole genome shotgun sequence.